CGUUGCGGAUUUGCUCCCCGCAACGGGUGAGACCGGCACAGCAUAUACCGGUAGGGCGGGAACG
ncrna:unclassified sequences D12-methyl RNA